rnacentral:rRNA from 1 species
UACGUAGGGUGCAAGCGUGUCCGGAAUUACUGGGCGUAAAGAGCUCGUAGGUGGUUUGUCGCGUUGUUCGUGAAAACCGGGGGCUUAACCCUCGGCGUGCGGGCGAUACGGGCAGACUGGAGUACUGCAGGGGAGACUGGAAGUUCCUGGUGGUAGCGGUGGAAUGCGCAGAUAUCAGGAGGAACACCGGUGGCGAAGGCGGGUCUCUGGGCAGUAACUGACGCUGAGGAGCGAAAGCGUGGGGAGCGAAC